rnacentral:rRNA from 1 species
GGUUAAGCGAAUAAGCGUACACGGUGGAUGCCUAGGCAAUCAGAGGCGAUGAAGGACGUGCUAAUCUGCGAAAAGCGUCGGUAAGGUGAUAUGAACCGUUACACCCGACGAUAUCCGAAUGGGGAAACCCAGUAUCCAAUGGAUACUAUCAUUAACUGAAUCCAUAGGUUAAUGAGGCGAACCGGGAGAACUGAAACAUCUCAGUACCCCGAGGAAAAGAAAUCAACCGAGAUUCCCCUAGUAGCGGCGAGCGAACGGGGAGCAGCCCAGAGUCUUAAUCAAUAGCAGUGUCAGGAGAACGGUCUGGAAAGUCCGGCAGUAAAGGGUGAUAGCCCCGUAUCUGAAGAUGCUGUUAUUGUGAACUCGACGAGUAGGGCGGGACACGUGUUAUCCUGUCUGAAUAUGGGGGGACCAUCCUCCAAGGCUAAAUACUCCUGAUUGACCGAUAGUGAACCAGUACCGUGAGGGAAAGGCGAAAAGAACCCCGGCGAGGGGAGUGAAAAAGAACCUGAAACCGUGUACGUACAAGCAGUAGGAGCCCCAUCACUCAAGUGCCUCGCACUGAGUGAUGCAAGAACAUCACCGAAAAUAGCGCCGAAUUUGCUAACAAGGUUGGUCGAUUUUUUCAAGCCGUCGCGCAGUGUACCUAGAAGUACACGAGCAACGGAAGUUAAAAAAUCGGGCAAGAUUGAACGCAAAGGCAAGCGGGACAUUUGAG